rnacentral:rRNA from 1 species
UACGUAGGGUGCGAGCGUUGUCCGGAAUUAUUGGGCGUAAAGGGCUCGUAGGCGGUUUGUCGCGUCGGGAGUGAAAACACACAGCUUAACUGUGUGCCUGCUUCCGAUACGGGCAGACUAGAGGUAUGCAGGGGAGAACGGAAUUCCUGGUGUAGCGGUGAAAUGCGCAGAUAUCAGGAGGAACACCGGUGGCGAAGGCGGUUCUCUGGGCAUUACCUGACGCUGAGGAGCGAAAGUGUGGGGAGCGAACAGG